rnacentral:rRNA from 1 species
UGCCUAAGGGCGCACGGUGGAUGCCUUGGCACUAGGAGCCGAAGAAGGACGUGACAAACGACGAUAUGCCUUGGGUAGCUGUAAGUAAGCGAUGAUCCAGGGAUUUCCGAAUGGGGGAACCCAACAGGUACUACCUGUUACCCGCAUCUGUUAAGGAUGUGAGGAGGAAGACGCAGUGAACUGAAACAUCUAAGUAGCUGCAGGAAGAGAAAGCAAAAGCGAUUGCCUUAGUAGCGGCGAGCGAAACGGCAGGAGGGCAAACCGAAGAGUUUACUCUUCGGGGUUGUAGGACUGCAACGUGGACUUAAAGAUUAUAGAAGAAUGACAUGGGAAGGUCAGCCAAAGAGAGUAAGAGCCUCGUAUUCGAAAUAGUCUUUAUACCUAGCAGUAUCCUGAGUACGGCGAGACACGAGAAAUCUCGUCGGAAUCUGGGAGGACCAUCUCCCAACCCUAAAUACUCCCUAGUGACCGAUAGUGAACCAGUACCGUGAGGGAAAGGUGAAAAGCAC